UACGUAGGGUGCGAGCGUUGUCCGGAAUUAUUGGGCGUAAAGGGCUCGUAGGCGGUUUGUCGCGUCGGGAGUGAAAACCCAGGGCUUAACUCUGGGCUUGCUUUCGAUACGGGCAGACUAGAGGUAUGCAGGGGAGAACGGAAUUCCUGGUGUAGCGGUGAAAUGCGCAGAUAUCAGGAGGAACACCAGUGGCGAAGGCGGUUCUCUGGGCAUUACCUGACGCUGAGGAGCGAAAGUGUGGGGAGCGAACAGG
rnacentral:rRNA from 1 species